rnacentral:rRNA from 1 species
AGUGAACGCUGGCGGCAGGCCUAACACAUGCAAGUCGAACGGCAGCACAGCAGUAGCAAUACUGUGGGUGGCGAGUGGCGGACGGGUGAGGAAUACAUCGGAAUCUGCCUAGUCGUGGGGGAUAACGUAGGGAAACUUACGCUAAUACCGCAUACGACCUACGGGUGAAAGCGGGGGAUCGCAAGACCUCGCGCGAUUAGAUGAGCCGAUGUCCGAUUAGCUAGUUGGCGGGGUAAUGGCCACCAAGGCGACGAUCGGUAGCUGGUCUGAGAGGAUGAUCAGCCACACUGGAACUGAGACACGGUCCAGACUCCUACGGGAGGCAGCAGUGGGGAAUAUUGGACAAUGGGCGCAAGCCUGAUCCAGCCAUGCCGCGUGGGUGAAGAAGG